rnacentral:rRNA from 1 species
AGUCAGGUUAAGUAAGAAA